rnacentral:rRNA from 1 species
UACGUAGGGGGCAAGCGUUGUCCGGAAUGAUUGGGCGUAAAGGGCGCGUAGGCGGCUCGGUAAGUUUGGAGUGAAAGUCCUGGCUUUAAGUUGGGAAUUGCUUUGAAAACUGUCGGGCUUGAGUGCAGGAGAGGUUAGUGGAAUUCCCAGUGUAGCGGUGAAAUGCGUAGAGAUUGGGAGGAACACCAGUGGCGAAGGCGACUAACUGGACUGUAACUGACGCUGAGGCGCGAAAGUGUGGGGAGCAAACAGGAUUAGAUACCCUGGUAGUCCACACUGUAAACGAUGAAUGCUAGGUGUAGGGGGUAUCGACCCCUUCUGUGCCGGAGUUAACACAAUAAGCAUUCCGCCUGGGGAGUACGGCCGCAAGGUUGAA